GGCCCUCAAUAAACUCUCUGUCACUCAUGGGAAGACAAAAUAUCCUCAUUUAUCCUAAGCCCUCUGGCUUUUACCUUUCACAACCAGUAAGUAAUAAUGCAAUAAAUUGACGGGAAACUCAGAUUUGGGAAUUGCCGUUCUGUGGGUAAAAUGACGAGCAACGGUUCGUUACAACUUGUUGUUAUGGCCAGAAUCCCAAGCACAAAUAUUUGAAGAGUCAUAAAAACAAAAGCACAGGGACAGGUCAAUGGAGAAGUGGGCCUGCCUCAACAUCUUGACUUGGUCUGAAGUCAAUUCUACGUAUGAAAACUGGGCACACACAGACAAAUGUAAUGUAAUGAGUCAUGGAAUGAGUCAUGGAAUCACUGGGUUGUUGCCAAACAACUUUUACUCAGAGUAGACCCAUUGAAAUUAAUGGCUCUCAGUUAGCCAUGUUUAUUCACUUUUAAUCGGUCUCCUCUGAGUAGUACUAGCAUUGGAUACAACCUAUUGAGUUGGAGGGAGCAUUAUAGGUUCUCUGCUCAAUACAGGGAAACAAGAGCUGGGCACUCCCAACAGAUGGCUGCUCAGCCUCUGCUUGGAAACCUCUAGCAAGGAAUUGGCCAGCAAACACCAACCACAUAAUUUUUUCCAUUAUAAUAUUGCUCUGAUCUUCAAGACAUUUCUGCAGAUGUUCAACAGAAAUCUACCCCUCUAUAGGAAUGGGCAGAUUUUUGAAUUUCAUAUUCUCUCAAUUUCUCACUUAAGUUCGGUUCUCCACAUUUCCACAUCAAUUUGUGAUAUAUUUUUAAUUAAUCAUGAAAAUUCAUCAGCAUUUUAGUUAGUGCAAAUUUCUCACAAUAUACAUAUUUUUGUAUGCUACUUUUCCCACUACACACAUAUUUGCAAAACUAUUUCCCGAAAUUUAUUGCAUUCCUAUAAAUUAUUUUUGUCAAGCGCACCUCUUUACUGUGGCCUUUGACACAUGUGUGUGUGUGUUGUGUGUGUAUUAGGAUCUACCUUAUUCUUCCAGUUGUAAAUUGUUUUAACUGAUUUUAAUCUGGUAUUGUGUGUGUGUGUGUGUGUGUGUGUGUGUGUUUGGAAUGCAUGGAAUUUUUAAUAUUUUAUUUUUCAUGGGGGAAGGACAGUAGCUGAGUAGCAGAACAUCAGCCUUGCAUUCAGAGGGUCCCAGGUUCAAUCCCUGGAGUCACCUAGUAGAGCUGAGAGAGAAGCCUGCCUGAAAUCCUGGAGAGCUGUUGCCAGUCAGUGUAGACAAUACUGAGGUAGAUGCACCAAAACCUGACUCACUAUAAAGCAACUUCCUAGGUUGUCGUAACCUGCCCUGGGACCUCAUGGGAAAGAGCAUGGAAGAAAUCAAUAUGAAUGAUAUUGCUAAUCUUUUUUUCUUGUAUGUCCCUUGUUUGGCACCGCGGUGUACCAUGAGAAAACUGCCCUGGGACACACUUGCAGUCGCUCUGGAAAAAUCAGCUUUAUGAAUCUGAUUGGUAUUACAUCAUUUCCUGCCAGGCAGAGAGACCAGGAACAGCCGAGAGGAAUCUCUGAAAUAUUUCAGGACAAUAGUUUUGAGGGUGUUUGAUUUACUAUUCAAGUGCACACAGCUGCUGGUGGGGAAGAGGGAGGCAGCGUGCCAAGCGGGAGGGAGGGCAGCAGGAGAGAGCGGAAAAUUGUUUACAGACAGGGCCAUUAAAAUGACUUAGAAAUAGUUCCCUCUCAUUCCUCUCUGCAUAAAAUAGUUGUCUGUUUCAAAUGGAUUACCACUUACUCACUGAUACACCAUUUUAAGUGAUGUUUACAUAGCACGCUAAUAGCAGCCGGUGAAUCGACCGCUGCAAAGCUCCAGUGUGAGUCCUUCUCAUCCUGCCCCCCCCCCACAGCAGUGCUUCAUUCUGUAGUAAGGGAAGGGCUGUAGCUCAGCAGCAGAGCAUUUGAUUUGCAUGCAGACGGUCCCAAGUCCAGUCCCCGGCUUCUCAAGGUAGGGCUGGGCAAGCCACAAGUCAGAAACUCUGGAGAGCUGCUGUCAGUCAGUGUAGACAAUAUACUGUGCUAGAUGAACCAACGGGUCGUAAGAAGAGCUCUGCUGGACCAGGCCAAUGGCCCAUCUAGUCCAGUUUCUUGCUCUCACAGUGGCCAACUGAAUGCCUAUGGGAAGCUCAAAAAGCAGGACCUCAGCACAGCAUCACUCUAUCCCAGUGGUUCUCUAACUUUUUUCUCUGAGCCACACUUUCAGAAUAAUAAAUUCUUCUCUCCACACCAGUUUUUUCCUUGAUAAGAAGUGCAUUGGAAAACAAAAAGAAACGACUCCUAGCAGUUCUUUAUGUUGAAAAGAUAUCUAUUCAUAUUCUGC
rnacentral:lncRNA from 1 species